ensembl:lncRNA
GUACGGUGGUUGAGGAGCAUGUCCAGCUCCAGGUGAGUGGUACGGUGGUUGAGGAGCAUGUCCAGCUCCAGGUGAGUGGUACGGUGGCUGAGGAACAUGUCCAGCUCCAGGUGAGUGGUACGGUGGCUGAGGAGCAUGUCCAGCUCCAGGUGAGUGGUACUGUGGCUGAGGAGCAUAUUAUUACCAUGGCGGGUAGUACACACCAAUAUGUGCAUUAGCAAAGCUUCCUCUUCCUCUGCCCCUAUUGAAACCUCUUCCUCUUUCAUUCACUGUGAACUCACGUGCCCCAACUGCCCACAG